GUCGAUGUGAACUCCGAUCACCACGAGUAACCAUCGACGGCGGCAAGAACAAUUACUUCUGAAAACCGAUGCCACCAUGAUAGGCAGACAGAUGGUCAUUCUUAAUGGCUCUAAUGCCUUUUGUUCUCUUCUUAUCCCCUCUUUCCAUUUACUUAUAAAUUCAUAAAAUCAUAAUCAUUAUCAAGCGGGAUAGUUAAUCUAUCAGGCCGAUGGUGUUUCGCUCAAGUUGCUGGAGCUUGCUCGCUGGAAAAAUAUGCAUCACUGCACCAUCCUCUUCAAUUUUCUCCAACGAUCUAGCACAGGUUACCAACUUCCUCUUUGCCUUUGGUUGAUUCAUCUAAUUUGUUUCCCCAAAAUAGGACCAGCAUUCUAAUUUGAACCUGUAUGUGUUCAGUGUUUAUGCAAGCAUGGCCCAAUACAUAUUAGCAUUAUUUUCCCAUUUUUGUUAUCAAACAGUUUUCCCAUGCAUUUCAAUUCCUUCCGUUUCCUGUCCCAGGAUCCAGAUACUUGAUACUGAGUCAAUUCUUUUUUUUAUUUGUCCUGAACUGCAGAUCAAUUUUCAUUAUUCCAGUUGAAGGAUACGGCCAACAAUAUCACGUAGAUCAAUUGGUUGAUUUGUCAUCUACAUAUUCAGAUCUAAGAAGAAUAUAACUCACCAAGUUUGCAAGUUGAGUAACACUUUCAAAUUGGAUGGGUAUGUUCACCCAAUUAUGUUUUCUAAUUUGUAUUUCAGUUCUGAUCUUUACCUGGUGAGGAUAUCUUCAAUCUUAGAAAUAGAUUGGAUUGGCUUCUGUCUCAAAUAUAUAUGUCAAUUCAUUUCGCUGUCAGAGCAUCGAGCUGCUCCCAUUAAGGCCGUGUGAAAUAUGUGAAUGGAUAUGAAAUAUGUGAUCAAAAUGAAUGUUAUGUGAAUAUGGUUGUGUUAAAUAUAUUGAUGGUUGUGUAUAUGAAUGGGGGUGUUGGGGUGUGACAUCCUGG
rnacentral:lncRNA from 1 species